rnacentral:rRNA from 1 species
UACAGAGGAUGCAAGCGUUAUCCGGAAUGAUUGGGCGUAAAGCGCUUGUAGGUGGCUUUUUAAGUCCGCCGUCAAAUCCCAGGGCUCAACUCUGGACAGGCGGUGGAAACUACCAAGCUGGAGUACGGUAGGGGCAGAGGGAAUUUCCGGUGGAGCGGUGAAAUGCGUUGAUAUCGAUAGGAACUCCGGUGGCGAAGGCGGCAUACUGGUCCACUUCUGACGCUGAGGCGCGAAAGCCAGGGGAGCAAACGGG